rnacentral:rRNA from 1 species
UGGAUCCAGACUUUGAUUCUGGCUCAGGAUGAACGCUAGCGGCAGGCUUAACACAUGCAAGUCGAAGGGCAGCGUUGGGAGUGCUUGCACUCCCUGACGGCGACUGGCGCACGGGUGAGUAACACGUAUGCAACCUGCCCUCCACAGGGGGACAACCUUCCGAAAGGGAGGCUAAUCCCGCGUAAAUCUUCCCGGGGCAUCCCGGGGAGAGGAAAGAAUCAUCGGUGGAGGAUGGGCAUGCGGCGCAUUAGCUGGUCGGCGGGGUAACGGCCCACCGAGGCGACGAUGCGUAGGGGUUCUGAGAGGAAGGUCCCCCACACUGGUACUGAGACACGGACCAGACUCCUACGGGAGGCAGCGGUGAGGAAUAUUGGUCAAUGGGCGGGAGCCUGAACCAGCCAAGCCGCGUGACGGAAGAAGGCGCUAAGCGUCGUAAACGUCUUUUGGCGGGGAACAAAGGCGCGGACGCGUCCGCGUGUGAGUGUACCCGGAGAAAAAGCAUCGGCUAACUCCGUGCCAGCAGCCGCGGUAAUACGGAGGAUGCGAGCGUUAUCCGGAUUUAUUGGGUUUAAAGGGUGCGUAGGCGGCCUGUUAAGUCAGCGGUAAAAGCCCGGGGCUCAACCCCGGCGAGCCGUUGAAACUGGUGGGCUAGAGACGGCGAGAAGUACGCGGAAGGCGCGGUGUAGCGGUGAAAUGCAUAGAUAUCGCGCAGAACUCCGAUUGCGAAGGCAGCGUACCGGCGCCGGACUGACGCUGAGGCACGAAAGCGUGGGUAUCGAACAGGAUUAGAUACCCUGGUAGUCCACGCAGUGAACGAUGAAUGCCGGCUGUCCGGCCCGGUUAGGGGCUGGGUGGCGAAGCGAAAGCGAUAAGCAUUCCACCUGGGGAGUACGCCGGCAACGGUGCAACUCAAAUGAAUUGACGGA